AGGAUCCUCACUAUUCCACGGCACUGUGUGAGGAGGACACAUGUGGUGCAGUAUGAUACUAGCAUAUGCUGCAUCAUGCGUGACCUCCCCACACCGUGUUGUGUCUCUCCAUCUGGAGGUU
rnacentral:precursor_RNA from 13 species